rnacentral:tRNA from 1 species
GCUUCUAUGGGGUAAUCGGCAAACCCAUCGGACUUUCGAUCCGAUAAUCCGGGUUCAAAUCCCGGUAGAAGCA